GGGCGAGUGGCGGAAUUGGUAUACGCGCAUGGCUUAGGACCAUGUGGGGAAACCCGUGGAGGUUCAAGUCCUCUCUCGCCCA
rnacentral:tRNA from 1 species